CACUACGGAGCAGGGGGUAUUUCGGAGAUUCUUCCACAGGCCAGAAGUCAGAACCCUCCAUUUCCGCCGCGCUCCGCCAUCCCCAUUUCACCUAUAGAGCCAAAAAGGUAAGUUGGAGUACCGAUCUUGGAAUUCAGGUAGCUAGCCGUUUAAACAACAGUUGAAGUAUUGUAAUUUUACCUCUCAUCAGAACCUGGUGGCAGGGCAGAGACAAUCCGACGGUUCGGCCAAACUCAAUAACUUUGAUCCAAAUCUUAUUUUCGUCUUUAAGGAGUUUAUUGAAUAUGCAUAAGUUAUUAAUUUAGAACUCAGUAACUUAAAAGAAGUAGAAUCUUCAAUCCAUAAGCUUCAAAUCCGGUCUCCGCUUCUCCCUGAUGGUUUUUUUUUGCUCUUUAUUUAUUUUACGCCUGCGAUAACUCCUCUUUGGUGAUUUUGGCAAUAUAUGAAGUUUAGACACAUAUCGUAUACCUGUUAUCAACAAAAUUAAGCAAUAACACUUCAAUUUAACCACUCUUUCUUGUCCAUGUACUAAGUUUGGUGUCUAGCAGAUAUGCAUUUAUCUCCUGUUUUACUUGAUAAUGUAUCUUCUUUUGGUUGUAACCCUCUUCUUGUUUGCAGCUUGUUUUACUAGCCAAAAAUGAUUCACUCUUGGUUCUUAUGGUUGAUUCUGGUUUAAUUUGGUACUUCAGAAUUUUAGUUUUGGUUGUUUUUGUAAUUACUAGAGAUGAAUAAAUAUGCUUCGAUAAGCUUGACAAUAUGUUAGGCUCCGCAAGGGGGUGGGGAGUAAACUAGAGUAAUCAAAUUUGUUCUAUUUUGGUCAAUAGUGCAUUGUGUUAGUUCAUUCUUUACCAGUGUUGGCUGAUAAAGUGCAACGAUAUUUUGUUGUUUUUGAAUGGUCCAUACUGUCGAAGGUAUAAUUAAAUAAAUAAAAGUGUUUUCUGUCUAACAAUUAGGCUUUUAGAUGAAAUAGUCACACAUCUCCACAUGGUAUCAGAGUAGGCACAAAUUGUUCGUAUAAAUCAUGGACAGAAUUAUGAUAUCUUUCACUUGCACAUAUAUAUGUUUGUCAUUGAUUUGUUGUGGUGCCGAAUGCCAUUUACAGGUUUUAACGAUGGGUAUUUUAGUUACUAGGUUGAGUCUGUUUGGUGUAUCCAAUUGUAGUGGUUCAUUUAUAUAUUGUUGGCAGAUCCCACUGGAACAAUGUAGACUAUGUAGUUGUACAUAUGUAGAAUCCAAUGAUGAAUGCUUAUAUUGCUGGUGCCAAACGACACUCCACCCAAAGUUGGAUGUUUGAUUUGAAAUUGGUUUAUGCGGAUUCAUCUUUUCCCCCUUGUUUUCUUAUUCAAAGUAUACAGUUCAACUUUGGAGCGUUUGAUCCUGGAGUACAGGUUAGUUGGCUUACAAGUGCAUAGUCCCUUCAUUCGUUUUUUCUUUAUUUUUUUCUUUCUUGAUAAGUUGCAUAGUAUUUUCACCUCUUCAUAAAAACAAAAAAAGAAAACAUAGUCUUUUCAUUCUUGUAUAUCUGAUUUCAAAGACGUCAAUCCUUCCUCUCUCUCUAGUUAUUUUAAGGUGUAACGGCUGAAGUUAGAACUGAAGUCACUCUAAUAGGAUAUGCACAUUGAUGCUUGAGGAGAUCAAAUUUUUUUGAGUUUCGCCUCUGGUUUAAUUGGAGCUGGGGAAGAAUGCAUUAUGAAAAAUCUUCAAGUCCAAUUUGAUCGACAAAAUGAUCUUGUGGGUUAGUAAUUACAGUGGUCAUGGAAUUGAUUUUCAAUAUUGACUAUCAUUCAUUGUGCUGCUAAAGGUCCAUGAAAAGACGACCCUUUAACCACCUGAAUGGAUCGUAUCAAUGUAAUAUCUAUGAUCUCUGUAUUCAUUGUUGCCAUCUUGUCCGAGAGUGCAAUUUUGUCUAAAAUCUGGCCAGUGAAGAACUGAUUUAGAUCAUCCUCCUCUGAGACAGGCUUCUGUUUUGGAAAAAACCAAAUAUUGGAAUUGUUAAACUUGGCCCAAGUAUAACAUUUAAAAUGAGCAUGCUGCAGGUAUCCAUACCCAUUUUGGCCU